GCGGGCCUCUCUCCGCCGCUGCCGCCAUUUUGGGGCCUUCCCCGGCCGCCGCCUCCAUCCGUCUCUAUCCGCCUCCAUCCGCCGCCCCGCCCGCCCGGACUGAGCGCGGAGCCGCCGCCGCCGCCCCGCCAUGAGGGCCAAGUGGCGCAAGAAGCGAAUGCGCAGGCUGAAGCGCAAGAGGAGAAAGAUGAGGCAGAGGUCCAAGUGAGCGCCCCCGCCGGGGCCGCGGCCCGGGGCCACCUCGGUGACACCCUGAGGACACGCCGGUGACCCCCGGGGGUCCCGCUGGGCCGGGCCCCCUCUGUCUGCUCUGUGACGGCCGCUGUGCUGUGAAUAAAAGCUGGUUAUUACAACAA